GUCCCAGUAGUGCAAUGGAUGCCUCAUUGGACUUCUAAUCGGAAGGUCGUGGGUUCGAAUUCCACCUGAGAUG